rnacentral:rRNA from 1 species
CAGUCGCCACGGUAAUACGUAGGGUGCAAGCGUUAAUCGGAAUUACUGGGCGUAAAGCGUGCGCAGGCGGACCGUUAAGUCAGAUGUGAAAUCCCCGGGCUCAACCUGGGAACUGCAUUUGAGACUGUAUGGCUAGAGUGUGUCAGAGGGGGGUAGAAUUCCACGUGUAGCAGUGAAAUGCGUAGAUAUGUGGAGGAAUACCGAUGGCGAAGGCAGCCCCCUGGGAUAACACUGACGCUCAUGCACGAAAGCGUGGGGAGCAAACAGGAUUAGAUACCCCAGUAGUCCCUGUCCCUUAUAC